rnacentral:lncRNA from 1 species
GUGAUAUUAAACUAAAUUUGGAGGAUUCUAGAAUUCUAGAUUGGCUGCCUAUGAUGACAGACCUCUUUUGGCUCCAAUUACUCCCUCAUUUUCAGGUGACUCAGAGAACUUCAAGUGACCAGCACAGUGGUACAGCCCCACUUGUCGUUAAUGGCCAGCCAUAAAAGAACCCAAGUUUCUCAGCUCAUAGGCCAGGUUCUUCAGUGGUUGUCUAGUUUAAGGCUGGUCAUUAGCAAUAUUAUGGACGACCUAAGUUCCUCGAACUUAUGCAGUUUAUAGCUUUUUAAGAAUUUAAGAAGUGGAGAAGGGGAAGCAUGAGAAACUUAAAGGAUGCAAAUUGAGCAUCUCUUAAAAUAUAAUGGAUUUGUGUAGGUGAAACAGAUUUGUUGCCAAAAGUUAAUUUGUGCACAAGUUAUCAGGAACACACUUGAUAAAAUUAGAUGCUGAUUAAUUGGAGAUACAUUGUAUCCAGAGAUACACAAGAAUCCAGAGGAAAUAAACAGAGAAGGAGAGGAAAUGGAGUCUUGCUCUGCUGCCUAGGCUGGUGUGGAAUGGCACAAUCUCGGCUCACUGUGACCUCAGCUUCCCAGAUUCAAGCGAUUCUCCCCCCUCAGCCUCCCAAUCCCCCACCCCCACCCCUGCGAGUAGCUGGGAUUACAGGCACCCGCCAUCAUGCCUGGCUAAUUUUUGUAUUUUUGUAGAGACGAGGUUUCACCAUGUUGGCCAGGCUGGUCUUGAACUGACCUCAGGUGAUCCACCCACCUUGGCCUCCCAAGUGGUGAAAUAACAGGUGUGAGCCACCGCUCCCCAACUCAACCCAAAUUUUUAAAAUGGGCGGAGUAUUUGAACAGGUUCCUCAACAAAGAAGAUACAUGUGGCAAAUAAGCGCACAAAUGAAUGCUCCACACCACUAGUAAUUAAGGGAAUUCAAUUACUACUUACUGGAGGCUAAGAGACCAGUUAGGGGGUUACGGGAGAAAUUGUGAAUUAAAAUUAUGUAUGAUAGUAGCGGUGGGGAUGGAGAGGAGAGGAUAUGAGGAAUAUUGAGGAGAUAAAAUUGCAAAAGCUUCACACUUGGUUGGAAGUGGAAGCUGACGUGUAAGAGAAUCAGCAAUGAUUCUCAGGUUUCCAACUUGAGCAAAGGGGCGGAGGCCACUGAUAGACUCUGAGGUCAUAAAACACAAGGUGGAGCAGAUCUAGGCGGGUAUGGAGGAAGAGAUGUGACCAUUGAAGUAUUUUCUUUGUUGUUGUGUUGUUGGAAUAUUUCAAGUCAAAUCCCUGACAUCAUGUUGUUCCAUCUCUACACACUUCAACAUGUAUCACUAAAAGUAGGGACACUUUCUCCCAUAAUCACAUUGCUGUGAUCGCUCCUGAAGAUGUGCUCAAUGAUUCUGAUUAUCAUCCCAUACAUAGUCCACAGUCAUACAUACUUGAUUAUCACAAGUAUUUCUCUUUUUGCAGUCUGUCUAUUGGAAUCAGAAUCCUGACAAGGUCCACCCUGCACACCACUUUCUCACAAAGGUCCUCUCAUCCUGAGCAGUCCUCCCUGCCACUGAUUUGUUGUCCUUCAUAAUGUCCCACAAUCUGCACCUGUCUUUGUUCUCCCUCAUGAUACUGCUUCACUUCUAUGCCCUGAAUUUCCUAUAAUGGGGAAGGAGCUCUGAAGCCUGGUUGUAGGAACACUUCAUGAACAGUACUGUGCAUGGCACACAAUCUCUAGCCAUCCCACUUGUCACGCUAAAAUCGAUGACUCGCUUCUGGUAGUGUCAGCCUGACUCUUUGGACAUGCUGAGUAAGCAGAGCGAGAAAGGAAGAGGGCUUCGACCAGAGGAAGAGGAGCAGAGAAAACAGGGAAGGAGAAU